rnacentral:rRNA from 1 species
GGGGAAUAUUGGACAAUGGGGGAAACCCUGAUCCAGCAAUGCCGCGUGUGUGAAGAAGGUCUUCGGAUUGUAAAGCACUUUUGGCAGGGACGAUGAUGACGGUACCUGCAGAAUAAGCCCCGGCUAACUUCGUGCCAGCAGCCGCGGUAAUACGAAGGGGGCUAGCGUUGCUCGGAAUGACUGGGCGUAAAGGGCGCGUAGGCGGCGUACACAGUCAGAAGUGAAAUUCCUGGGCUCAACCUGGGGACUGCUUUUGAUACGGGUGUGCUAGAGUGAGGAAGAGGGUUGUGGAAUUUCCAGUGUAGAGGUGAAAUUCGUAGAUAUUGGAAAGAACACCGGUGGCGAAGGCGGCAACCUGGUCCUUUACUGACGCUGAGGCGCGAAAGCGUGGGGAGCAAAC